GGGGAUGUAUUGUUUCGACAGGAUUUGCUCUUUAAAAACUGCAAGCCGAAAGAUGAUUCUAAAGUGCGUUAAACUUUGAAUCAAACUUACGUGCAAAAAAUUAUAUUGCACAGGGGUUAAAUGCAAUUCGUUCUGCGUUUAGCAUUCAACCUUUAGCUCCCGCUUUAGUACUAACUUAAGCAGAGCUUGUCUUUUUAGUUUUUUCUCGGUGAAACUUCAAAGGCAUCAACUUAGCCGAGAGUAGAUCUUUAAUUUCUGAUCAGAUUAAAGAUUGAAUCAAUAGAUCUUUGUUUAAGUUAUGCUUGUUAAUCGGUAAAGGCUUAAACGAGAAAAUUAUGAUUAACUAAGCUUGUAGAGGUUUAUAAAUUGUAGUCUUGGACGGGGGUUCGUAGCCCCCCAUCUCCACAC
rnacentral:tmRNA from 1 species